GCUGACUCCGGAGAUCCGAAGACAAGGCGAUAGGCGCGGCGUAGAAACCGACCCGACCGUCGGUUAAAUCGGCAUCGGCUCUCGACCUCCGGCGCCCCCUUCUUGCUUUCAUUCCCUCUUAGAUUUGGGGGCGGGGUGCGGGGGUCCAGACACCCGUCUUUCCCUCCUGCUGGCCGGUCGCCUAUGCCCGCGAGGGGGCGGCCAGGCGGCGCUCGAGAACCAGCUGAGGAGGAUCGACGGGUGCGAAGAGGAGAGCGCUUAAGGCGCGGCGGCUGCUGCCGUCCAGGAGAACAGAGGAGCGGUCGCUCGACCCACCUGGGCUGGCUGCCUUCGCACAGGGAGAGACAGGACUUCCAGCCGUGACCGGUGUCUAAGUCCUUUGGUGGCACCAGAAUGUCAGAACAUCCCUGCAAGUCAACAACACGUUCCACAACGCUGCUUUCUCUGCGGGGAAGGAUGAAGCUCCAGUUCAAAGGCCACCUUUGGUGACCCGGUCCUUCCAAGACCUUCAAAAACCCUGAGUCCAUUGUGCCUGGCAGCGACACACAGAUGAUGAGAAGGCAAAAUCCAUGACUUCCGCUGGGGGACAUCCAUUUGGCGGCUGCUUUCGGAUGUCGGCGGUCGGCAUUGAGUCUC